UUAGCAAUUGCCAAUGUGUUGGGUUAUUUCCAAAUGUGAAACUUGGGACUUGUAAUCUUCUAACUUUGGCAUUUUGAAAUCGAUUUCCUGCAGUUUUGUACGUCAUAAUCAAUUACGUUAUCGUUUCGAAUCACUUCCAAUGACUUUUCAGUCAGGCAAUCGAAAUUCCUUACCCACAAGCAAGUAAACUGCCAAGCUCCGUUUUGCUAAUAUCCUGAGAAGUCGUGAGGAGGCUACUGUCUUGGCCCAUUCGUGCCGCAUUGGGCGGAAACGUCUGUAAGCCAAGUGCAGCAGCAGACAUAAUUUGGGCGUUUUAAAUCCUCGUGUAGAAUUUAUAAUGCUCAAUGGAUUACAACUUGGACAGGGACGGAGAUUCCUAGAAGGAGAGCGAGUCAGGCUAUCUCUUGUGAGAGUAAUACUUUCUUUUUUCCAAACUUUCAUAGUUUUCUCCCUGCAGUUUUAGUUUUGCGGCCAGGCCCACACACAGAGCUACUCGUAAAAGGCAAAUGGAACAUGGGAGCAUUUUGGCUCAAGCCACAAAUAUUUGCACGGUCUCUGGUGUGGGUAGUGGUGUGGUACACCCUCACAGACAUACAGCUAAGGGAAUACACAGGAAAAAACCUGAAACUCAAUAAACGGCAGCUAUAAGCACAAUCUGAAGUCAAAGAAACAAAUCUCCAUAAUAGCACGGUUAUAGAGUGUUUUUUUUUUAUUGAUGUUAAUCCAUAAACAAUACAAUAUUCAAGUAAUGCCAUCGA